GAACGCUAGCUACAGGCUUAACACAUGCAAGUCGAGGGGAAACGAUAUUGGAAGCUUGCUUCUGAUAGGCGUCGACCGGCGCACGGGUGAGUAACGCGUAUCCAACCUGCCCAUCACUUGGGGAUAACCUUGUGAAAGUAAGACUAAUACCCAAUGACGUCUCUAGAAGACAUCUGAAAGAGAUUAAAGAUUUAUCGGUGAUGGAUGGGGAUGCGUCUGAUUAGCUUGUUGGCGGGGUAACGGCCCACCAAGGCGACGAUCAGUAGGGGUUCUGAGAGGAAGGUCCCCCACAUUGGAACUGAGACACGGUCCAAACUCCUACGGGAGGCAGCAGUGAGGAAUAUUGGUCAAUGGACGAGAGUCUGAACCAGCCAAGUAGCGUGCAGGAUGACGGCCCUAUGGGUUGUAAACUGCUUUUAUAAGGGAAUAAAGUGAGUCUCGUGAGACUUUUUGCAUGUACCUUAUGAAUAAGGACCGGCUAAUUCCGUG
rnacentral:rRNA from 1 species